rnacentral:rRNA from 1 species
UCAGAUGCGAAAGCGUGGGGAGCAAACAGGAUAGAUACCCUGGUAGUCCACGCCGUAAACGAUGUCUACUUGAAGGUUGUGGCCUUGAGCCGUGGCUUUCGGAGCUAACGCGUUAAGUAGACCGCCUGGGGAGUACGGUCGCAAGAUUAAAACUCAAAUGAAUUGACGGGGGCCCGCACAAGCGGUGGAGCAUGUGGUUUAAUUCGAUGCAACGCGAAGAACCUUACCUACUCUUGGCAUCCACAGAAGAGACCAGAGAUGGACUUGUGCCUUCGGGAACUGUGAGACAGGUGCUGCAUGGCUGUCGUCAGCUCGUGUUGUGAAAUGUUGGGUUAAGUCCCGCAACGAGCGCAACCCUUAUCCUUGUUUGCCAGCACGUAAUGGUGAGAACUCCAGGGAGACUGCCGGUGAUAAACCGGAGGAAGGUGGGGACGACGUCAAGUCAUCAUGGCCCUUACGAGUAGGGCUACACACGUGCUACAAUGGCGUAUACAGAGGGCUGCCAACCAGCGAUGGUGAGCGAAUCCCACAAAGUACGUCGUAGUCCGGAUCGGAGUCUGCAACUCGACUCCGUGAAGUCGGAAUCGCUAGUAAUCGUGAAUCAGAAUGUCACGGUGAAUACGUUCCCGGGCCUUGUACACACCGCCCGUCACACCAUGGGAGUGGGCUGCACCAGAAGUAGAUAGCUUAACCUUCGGGAGGGCGUUUACCACGGUGUGGUUCAUGACUGGGGUGAAGUCGUAACAAGGUAACC